GACGAACGCUGGCGGCGUGCCUAAUACAUGCAAGUCGAGCGGAUGACGGAGGAGCUUGCUCCUCUAGAUUCAGCGGCGGACGGGUGAGUAACACGUGGGCAACCUGCCCUGUAGAUUGGGAUAACUCCGGGAAACCGGGGCUAAUACCGAAUAAUCCUUCGGACCUCAUGGUCCGAUGUUGAAAGACGGUUUCGGCUGUCACUACAGGAUGGGCCCGCGGCGCAUUAGCUAGUUGGUGAGGUAACGGCUCACCAAGGCCACGAUGCGUAGCCGACCUGAGAAGGUGUUCGGCCACACUGGGACUGAGACACGGCCCAGACUCCGACGGGAGGCAGCUGUAGGGAAUCUUCCACACUAGGCGAACGUCUGAUGGCGCAACGCCGCGUGAGUGAAGAAGGUUCUCGGAUCGUAAAACUCUGUGUGGCGGGAAGAACAAGUACCGGAGUAACUGCCGGUGCCUUGACGGUACCUCAUUAGAAAGCCACGGCUAACUACGUGCCACCAGCCGCCGUAACAC
rnacentral:rRNA from 1 species